rnacentral:rRNA from 1 species
AGCGAACGCUGGCGGCAGGCUUAACACAUGCAAGUCGAGCGGGCAUCUUCGGAUGUCAGCGGCAGACGGGUGAGUAACACGUGGGAACGUACCCUUCGGUUCGGAACAACUCUGGGAAACUGGAGCUAAUACCGGAUACGCCCUUAUGGGGAAAGGUUUACUGCCGAAGGAUCGGCCCGCGUCUGAUUAGCUAGUUGGUGGGGUAACGGCCUACCAAGGCGACGAUCAGUAGCUGGUCUGAGAGGAUGAUCAGCCACACUGGGACUGAGACACGGCCCAGACUCCUACGGGAGGCAGCAGUGGGGAAUAUUGGACAAUGGGCGCAAGCCUGAUCCAGCCAUGCCGCGUGAGUGAUGAAGGCCUUAGGGUUGUAAAGCUCUUUUGUCCGAGACGAUAAUGACGGUACCGGAAGAAUAAGCCCCGGCUAACUUCGUG